AAAAUUGAUCCGCUACAGUAACAUAAAAAAAAAACACUACAGUAACAUAAAAAAACACUACAGUAACAUAAAAAAAAAAACACUACAGUAACGGUAGGAACUGCUACAUUUUUUCCCCCUCUUUUCUUCCCCACCCACCCCUUCCGCCCCUUCAUAUUCUUCUUUCUCCUUUUCUCUCUUCUCCGUCCCUUUCUUCUUUCCCCCCACCCCUCUCUUCGCUGCAACCAUUAGAGACGCGAAUCUGGCCACCAUGACUGUCGCCGCCCACUAUUGAUCUUACCUUCUUCCCUCUUUUGUACUGAAUUGUGGGCUGUUGUUGAUGGUGUUAUCUGUUCUUCUUCUUUUUCUUUCCCGCAAGAGUAACAGUUAGGACUGAGGAGAGAGGAACUAAAAAACGAUGGCCUUAGGAAGUUGACACGUGGCACCCACUCCCACUUUGUAGUGAAGCAAAGCUUCUUGUCGUUUUUCUCUUCUAAUGUUGAUUACGUCCUGACACUCUCACGCGCAUCUGCCCCUCAAAUCAUUUGGUGGUGGCUGGGAUCCACUCCUGCCCCUCCACUCAUUUCAUUGUUAUCUUUUUAUUUUAUCUUAGUCCCACAAACACUUAGUUUUUUUU
rnacentral:lncRNA from 1 species